UCCUCCUCCUUCUUCUUCUUCUCCUCCUCCUCCUCCUCCAAGUCAGCUCUCAUCUAGCAAACCUAUUAUCAAAACGUAACAAUUCCGUCAUUUUCUUUUCUUAUUUUAUUUUUCGUACACCAGGGCCCAGAUUGUUUAAUGCAUCCGUCUUCAUUUCAAAUGGUGGGAUGUGAUCUGAGGGAAAUUUAACUGCUAUUUCGAACACAUCAGUUUCUGUCAACGAAAUUCCACCUCAAAAGAAUAGGCCACAAAUUACAUUCCAUUUGCUAACCUCGUACUACAUACAAAACUGGAAGUGCGUGGCUUUGUGGUUAGGGUAUUGCACUCGUGAUCAUAAGAACAUUGGUUCGAAUGAAGGCGACGAGCUGGCAGAAACGUUAGCACGGCGGGCGAAAUGCUUAGCAGUAUUCCGUCUGCCGCUUCGUUCUGUGUUCAAAUUCCGCCGAGGUCGACUUUGCCUUUCAUCCUUUCGGGGUCGAUAAAUUAAGUACCAGUUUGUACUGACGUCGAUGUGAUCGACUUAAUUCCUUUCUCUGUCCUUGUUUGUUCCCUAUAUGUUUAGCCCCUUGUGGACAAUAAAGAAAUAAGAAUGCUGGUUUGAUUUCGGGUGGAGACGAUGUGCGUUGCCCUAAGCCAGCGGUUCUCAACGAGGGUUCAUUUGACCCUUGGGGGUCCAUAUACGAUUAUAAAUUUGUAUGCAAUAAACUGGUUAUAAUCCUACAAAAUACAAAAUAUUUAAACAAUAUUUUUUUAUAGAAUUCCCAAUAAUAUUUAAUUAUAGAUAUAUGAUUUUUUUAAAUACCGAAUGUCUGUGGGAGUCCACCCAAGUAAAACCUGAAACAAGGGUGUCUAUUGUUAAAAAAUGGUUGAGUAUAAUUCAAUCAACCAGCAAAAAUCGGUAAUCUUGCCACAGAGCGGCCUCCCGCCUUGUAGGGGAAUGUAUACAGUACAGAAUCCGGAAAACCGGCCUUAUGAAUCAAUGUCUUGUGAUCCUUACUAAAACGAAGUACGGCUGAACGGUCAAGAAAUUUGCUUUAGAACCAUUAGAUUCCGUGUUCAAUACCGCCGCUGGCGUCUUCGGCAAAUGUCCUUUUCUCAUAACCUGAGGGUGACUCAAUCUCCCUCAAAUGGAGACUAUAUAAGACAGUACAUGUGAUUCAAAACCUACGACUUUUUCAGACACUGUGUCACGCAAAUUCUGCCUAAGAGUCACAUGACUGGUCACGUGUCUGUAAAAAAAACAACAACCGUUUAUUUGUAAAUUUAGGAGAAGGUAAUUCACUUGAUCGGAUAACAAUAUCCUCGUCCACCAACGAUGGAGAUCCACCACUACCAUGACGUACAAAGACAUACAAAGCAUACAUUUACACACUAAAUACACAUACACACACACACAGUAAAAGACAUGCAUAAACUUUAUACACAGCUACCUUUAAAACAUUAUAUACAGCCACACAACAACCUACCCGGCUACCCACACCCACACAAAUACACAAAAAUGCACAUACACAAUUAACAAAUACGUUCACAUACCUAUCUAUGAACUAACAUAUAUGAAUCCAUACGUACAUUCAUGCAUACAGACAUACCUGUAUACAGGCAAAUAUACAUAUAUGCCUAUAUAUGUGUGUGUAGAUGAGUACAUACAUAUAUACAUACAUACAUACAUACAUAUAUAUAUAUAUAUAUAUAUAUAUAUAUAUAUAUAUAUAUAUAUAUGCACACAUACAUAUAUAUAUAUACACAUAUAUAUAUAUAUAUAUGUACGUAUGACACAUAUACAUGCGUGUUUCAUAUAUAUAUCUUGUACCAGCUUGUAUUUAUUUAUAUAUAUAUAUAUAUAUAUAUAUAUAUACUCUUUACUCUUUGUACUCUUUUACUUGUUUCAGUCAUUUGACUGUGAUCAUGCUGGAGCACUGCCUUUAAUCGAGCACAUCGACCCCAGGACUUGUUCUUUGUAAGCCUAGUACUUAUUUUAUCGGUCUCUUUUGCCGAACCGCUAGAUUACGGGGAUGUAAACACACCACCAUCGGUUGUCAAGCGAUGUUGGGGGGUUAGGUUUAGGGUCACACACAGAUACAUAAAUACAUACACACGCAUAUAUAUAUAUAUAUAUAUAUAUAUAUAUAUAUAUAUAUAUAUAUAUAUAUACAUAUACAUAUACAUAUACAUAUACAUAUAAACGACGGGCUUCUUUCUGUUUCCGUCUACCAAAUCCACUCACAAUGCUUUGGUCGGCUCGAGACUAUAGUAGAAGACACUUGCUCAAGGUGCCACGCAGUGGGACUGAACCCAGACCCAUGUAGUUCGUAAGCAAGCUACUUACACACAGCCACUCCUACGUUCAAAUAUAUAUAUAUUAUGCAUGUGUAUAUAUGUACGUAUAUAACUAUGUGUAUGUAUAUGUAUAUCCAUAUCCAUAAGUGUGCAUGUAUAUAUAUAUAUAUAUAUAUGUGUGUGUGUGUGCGUGCGUGCGUGCGUGCGUGUGUGUGUGUUUGUGUGUUUGUGUGUGUGCAUGUUAUAAUACACUCGCUUACCAAGUUUGCGUCCGUCGUCUCCACCGCAUUUCAAGCAGUUAAAAUGUUACACUACCUAAACCGUGCACCGACUUACCUAAACUAGUAAAUACAUCUCAACCCACAAACCUGGUGCAUCUGUCUACCUACAUGGAGUAACAGAGCAUACCCCAUGCACCCGUCUAUAUGCAGCUAACUGCAUACAAUCCAAUGUUUCAGUGCAUUCACCAAAACAUGCAGCUACUUAUCCGCCAUCCAAAUGAUCUACCUGACUUCCUACAUACCUACCUAUCUACACACCUACAUACCUACCUACCUACCUACAUAAUGCAGACAUGCAAACAUGCAGGCUUAACUACCAUCUAUGCAUGUUUGUAGCAAAUACACACACACAUGCACUUAUAUAUAUAUAUAUGUAUAUUAUAAAUGCAUGUAUGUCUAUAUAUAUUUCUACACAUACAUUUGUGUGAGUGUUUCUAAAUAUGUAUGUGUGUGCGUGCAUGUAUGUGUGUUAGUCUACAAAUACACAUGUAUGUUUUUGUCUAAAUAUAUAUAUAUAUAUGUGUGUAAUUGUGUGUGUGUGUGUGUGUGUGUGUUUGUGUGUGUGUGUGUGUGUUUGUGUCUGUGUGUGUGUAUGCAUGUGUGAUAUAUAUAUUUAUAUAUAUAUAUAUAUAUAUAUACAUAUGUCUGUGUCAGAAUAUAUAGAUAUGUGUGUGUGCGUGCGCACUCGCGCGCGCAUGUGUAUAUGCGUGUGUAUGUACACAUUUAAAAUACGUACCUACACACCCACAUACGCAUAUAUAUUAUUACUAUGAUCAUGGUGCCAGCGGUUACAUGCAUUUUCUCCCAAGCUAUCAUCUGCGCAUUUAUUAUUAUUAUUAUUAUUAUUAUUAUUAUUAUUAUUAUUAUUAUUAUUAGUUGUUAUUAUUAUCAUCAUCAUUAUUAUUAUCACGGCGGCGAGCUGGCAGAAUCGUUAGCGCGCUGGACGAAAUGCUUAGCGGUAUCUGAGUUCAAAUUCCGAUGAGGUUGACUUUACCUUUCAUCAUUUCGAGGUCGAUAAAUGAAAUACCUGUAAGAUAUUGGAAUCGAUGUAAUCAAUGUAAUCGACUAGCCACCCCACCUAUUAUUUCAGGCCUUGUGCCUCUAGUAGGUAGAACUGUGCUAUUGAAGAGGUCAGCGGGUGGUCCUGUCCAACCUCCCCUUAAACAUAUCCCUUAUGCCAUUAAACACCUUCCAUCCGGCCCUUACUCUCCGCGAGAUCUCCUUUCCGAUGUCUCGGUACAUAUUCACUUCCUGUCCCAGCUAGACAUAUUCCUUUACAUCCUCCGUGUAAAGGAAUAUAUAUAUACAUUGUUGUAUUUAGGAAUGGUCGUUUUGCCAGUUUAGCCAAUAAAAGCAGACGCACUAUAUACUUGGUGUUACUUUGCUUCAGCAUUAUUUAUUUUUUACAUUAAUCUUAAUCUUAUUUCGGCCAGAGUUCUUUCGUCACACUCCUGUGACCGCAUCAGUGGUCCUUUGCUUUCUUCUUUCUUAAGAUUAAUGUAAAAAAUAAAUAACGCUGAAGCAAAGUAACGCCAAAUAUAUAGUGCGUGUAUUUUUAUUGACUAAACUGGCAAAAUGACCAUUCCUAAAUACAACAAUAUCUGAUUCAACACACGAUUUCACAUCAAAAAUUUUGCAAAACAAAUAUAUAAACGUGUAUAUAUAUAUAUAUAUAUAUAUAUACAUAUAUAUAUAUAUAUAUAUAUACAUAAACAUAUAAGUUUCUUGGUUUCUUAGCAGAGACAGGAAAAUGGAACUCAGUGUAUGAGUAUAUAUAUAGGUAUACUUUUAUAUUUUGAAUCGGGAGUAAGUUAGGUGAGUGACUUUAUUCCUAAGAAUUACGUGUAAGACUCUUGGCUUGCGCGAAACACAUACGCACGGACGAACACAAAACACGCACACAUGCGCAGAGCACAAUCACACACGCAGGUACAAACGGACACACGCACGAACACACACACAUACACACACACGAACACACACACACACACACACACACACACACACACACACACACACACACACACAAACACGCACAAAACACACACGCACACACACACAAGCACACACACGUAUAAAUCUCACACGCAAACACAAACACACACACACGAACACAGACACAUAUAUAGACAUAUGUGUACGUAAGAGAGAGAGAGAGAGAGAGAGAGAGAGAGAAAGAAAGAAAUAAAGAGAGAGAUAGGUAAACAGUACUCCAUAUAAAAUAUGUUUAUGCACAUAUUACUUUUGUUUAGUUUGUGACGUUACGUGUUUGGCCAACAGAUUGCUAGAAAUAGCUGAGCAGCGAUCAUAUCUUAUAGUGAUAAAUAUUUACAACUGUUUACUUUCCAGGCAACAAUUCCGCUGAAUUACACACACACACACACACACACACACACACACACACACACACACACACACACACACACACACACACACACACAA
rnacentral:lncRNA from 1 species